GUAGACGUAGUCCAACAAAGAUGCCAGAUUGUGAUUCUGGAGAUAGGGACUAACUUCCCCUCGUCCACC
rnacentral:tRNA from 1 species